rnacentral:rRNA from 1 species
GACGUAGGGGGCCAGCGUUGUUCGGAAUUACUGGGUGUAAAGGGUUCGUAGGCGGUGUGGCAAGUCGGGAGUGAAAUCUCUGGGCUCAACUCAGAGACUGCUUCCGAAACUGCUGUGCUGGAGUGUGGGAGAGGCGCGUGGAAUUGCAGGUGUAGCGGUGAAAUGCGUAGAUAUCUGCAGGAACACCCGUGGCGAAAAGCGGCGCGCUGGACCACUACUGACGCUGAGGAACGAAAGCUAGGGGGAGCAAACAGG